GAUGAACGCUGGCGGCGUGCCUAUUACAUGCAAGUCGAGCGAAUGACGAGGAGCUUGCUCCUCUGAUUUAGCGGCGGACGGGUGAGUAACACGUGGGUAACCUGCCUGUAAGACGGGGAUAACUCCGGGAAACCGGAGCUAAUACCGGAUGAUAACGAGAAGCGCCUGCUUCUUUUUUGAAAGUCGGUUUCGGCUGACGCUUACAGAUGGGCCCGCGGCGCAUUAGCUAGUUGGUGAGGUAACGGCUCACCAAGGCGACGAUGCGUAGCCGACCUGAGAGGGUGAUCGGCCACACUGGGACUGAGACACGGCCCAGACUCCUACGGGAGGCAGCAGUAGGGAAUCUUCGGCAAUGGACGAAAGUCUGACCGAGCAACGCCGCGUGAGCGAUGAAGGCCUUCGGGUCGUAAAGCUCUGUUGUCAGAGAAGAACAAGUACCGGAGUAACUGCCGGUACCUUGACGGUACCUGACCAGAAAGCCACGGCUAACUACGUGCCAGCAGCCGCAGUAAUAC
rnacentral:rRNA from 1 species